AGUGGGGGACAACGUUUCGAAAGGAACGCUAAUACCGCAUACGUCCUACGGGAGAAAGUGGGGGAUCUUCGGACCUCACGCUAUCAGAUGAGCCUAGGUCGGAUUAGCUAGUUGGUGAGGUAAAGGCUCACCAAGGCGACGAUCCGUAACUGGUCUGAGAGGAUGAUCAGUCACACUGGAACUGAGACACGGUCCAGACUCCUACGGGAGGCAGCAGUGGGGAAUAUUGGACAAUGGGCGAAAGCCUGAUCCAGCCAUGCCGCGUGUGUGAAGAAGGUCUUCGGAUUGUAAAGCACUUUAAGUUGGGAGGAAGGGCAGUAAGUUAAUACCUUGCUGUUUUGACGUUACCAACAGAAUAAGCACCGGCUAACUUCGUGCCAGCAGCCGCGGUAAUACGAAGGGUGCAAGCGUUAAUCGGAAUUACUGGGCGUAAAGCGCGCGUAGGUGGUUCGUUAAGUUGGAUGUGAAAGCCCCGGGCUCAACCUGGGAACUGCAUCCAAAACUGGCGAGCUAGAGUAUGGCAGAGGGGUGGUGGAAUUUCCUGUGUAGCGGUGAAAUGCGUAGAUAUAGGAAGGAACACCAGUGGCGAAGGCGACCACCUGGGCUAAUACUGACACUGAGGUGCGAAAGCGUGGGGAGCAAACAGGAUUAGAUACCCUG
rnacentral:rRNA from 2 species